CGGGCAGAGGCUGCAAUCUCGGCACUUUGGGAGGCCAAGGCAGGCGGCUGGGAGGUGGAGGUUGUAGCGAGCCGAGAUCACGCCACUGCACUCCAGCCUGGGCACCAUUGAGCACUGAGUUAACGAGACUCUGUCUGCAAUCCCGGCACCUCGGGAGGCUGAGGCUGGUGGAUCACUCGAGGUUAGGAGCUGGAGACCAGCCGGGCCAACACAGCGAAACCCCUUCUCCACCAAAAAAACCAGUCAGGCGUGGCGGCGCGCGCCUGCAAUCGCAGGCACUCGGCAGGCUGAGACAGGAGAAUCAGGCAGGGAGGUUGCAGUGAGCCGAGAUGGCAGCAGCACAGUCCAGCUUCUGCUCGGCAUGAGAGGGAGACCGUGGAAAGAGAGGGAGAGGGAGACCAAGGGGAGAGGGAGAGGGAGAGGGAGCUUAAAAAUUGUUAAAUUGUUAUACAUUUAAGGAAAAAACAGUGACACUGGAGGGGCGAGGCCAGUGGAGGUGCUGUGUGACCUCGGGCAGAGCCCCACCCAUCUCUGGGCCUUUGGGGUCCGUCUGCGAAAUGAAUUGAGGGAGGCGCUGGCUCAGUAGUCCCUUCAGGGUUACCUAAUCCCGCUUCUCCUCCCGGACUUAACGGCCUACUGUCUCCCCUCUAGUAUCCAUUGAAACCUGGCCUAAGGUCCCAGACCUUCCUUUCAACUCCAAAGACCCAUCCUCCCAGGCAGCCUUCCAGGCUGAUCACUGUGCCUCCAACUCCGUCGUUCCUGUUCCGAUCCCCAUCACGGGCUGAGGGUGACCGUGUUUGUUUAUGACCGCCCCCUCCACCCACACACCUCACUGAGGUGGUGGAAGUCUCCUGAGC
rnacentral:lncRNA from 10 species